AGCGAACGUUAGCGGCGGGCCUAACACAUGCAAGUCGAACGAGAAUGAGGGGGCAACUCCUCUAGUAAAGUGGCGGACGGGUGCGUAACACGUGGGUAAUCUACCUUCCGGCGGGGGACAACAGUCCGAAAGGAUUGCUAAUACCGCAUUCGUCGACGGGGUCUACGGACCUCGUCGGGAAAGAUGGCCUCUCCUUGGAAGCUGUUACCGGAAGAUGAGCCCGCGGCCCAUCAGCUAGUUGGUGAGGUAACGGCUCACCAAGGCUAAGACGGGUAGCUGGUCUGAGAGGAUGAUCAGCCACACUGGGACUGCGACACGGCCCAGACUCCUACGGGAGGCAGCAGUGGGGAAUAUUGGGCAAUGGGCGAAAGCCUGACCCAGCCACGCCGCGUGAGUGAUGAAGGCCUUCGGGUCGUAAAGCUCUGUGGGGAGGGACGAACAAGCUGGCGAUUAACACCCGCUGGACCUGACGGUACCUCCUUAGCAAGCACCGGCUAACCAUGUGCCAGCCGCCGCCGUAAUAC
rnacentral:rRNA from 1 species